GGAUUGGGAUAUUCCGACUCCUUAAGGGCCUGGCGCACAUAAGGUGUGACCUUUUCAUUCCCGUUGUUAUGGAGGGCCACAUCUGCCAGAGCCUGGAGUCUGCGAAGGCCGGGACCCGGUUCCCCGGCCCACAGUGGGGGUGUGCAAACCCGAGAGAACUGGGUUGCAAAUUCGUGAAGAAUCAGCAUCAUGUUUGGCAGCUGAGUAUUGGAGCCAGGAGCCUGCCAUGAGGCAGAACCGGGUGGAACUGCAUGAGAAGCGACGGAGGCGCCAGCCCCAGCCAGCUCCCUGUGGCUCCUGGCACCAAUCAGGCCUCGAGGCUUCCUCAACACCAGCUUUCCUUCCCCUCCCAUUGGGCCCUGCAUCCCUGCCUUCUGCAACAUUGUGCUCCUGACCCUGGCUGGCUCCCAGCCCUCCACAGCUGGGCCCCACCUCAGAGCCUUUGCAUCAGGUAGCCCCAGAGUCAGAGAGAAGGCCCCCGACAAAGCCGCAGAUGGAGCUCAGCCCCAGGAAACACCUUUCCAGAGCAAGGCUCCAGCUCACUGUAGGACCACAGUCAAGUCUGUAUCCAGGCCGAGCGACAGCCGAUGCAGCCUCAGUGUUCCUUUGCCUUGGGGGUUUCUGAGUGGUGGGGUUGUAAGCAGAUCCUGCCAGGCACCCAGAAGGAAACCUCAUCAGGACUCCCUCAGAAAGGCCCUGAAGAAUCCUGUGACCUUCAUCUAAAGUAGGUCAUGAGACCCCUGAGCUUAAAACGGAGUGAUCGGCUUUGGAGAAGUAAGGAGACAUGACGUGCCUGCCCUGGGGUGGGGACUAAACUUCGUGCCACUCCACGUGAAAGGGGGAGGCAUGACUCCACAGUUUCUGCAACAACAGAGCCGGGGAAAGGAGGACGCAGCAAGCGCUGAAUAUUAACCAGCAAAGGUAGAUGCUUCAAUAUCGAAACCACCGGGACCCGCAUGUGCAAAGCUACUUAAUGAGGGUGUAAUCAAACACAGUCUACCAGAAGGAAAUUAAUUAGAGUCCGGAGAGCAAGCAGGAAGCAGAACCAGGCUGCUCCCCCUCCUGGCUCUAGAACAUCACUGGCAGCCACUGCUAAGGGAGGGACAAGGCUGGGGGAUGCCAGGCCUCAGCUGGGUGCCAGGGCUCCUGUCCUCUUCCCCGUGACAUUCCGGCUUGCCUUUGGGGGACACC
rnacentral:lncRNA from 1 species